CUCUGGGGGUGGGGCUCAGCUCACUUAUCUCUCCUUCCACCCUCUGGACUCGGGCACACCUGGAGCUCUUGCUUCCUGCAAGCCAGCUGGGAGAGGAAGCUGGAGGGGAGAGGAAUGGGACCAACAGGAGUAGCUGUCCUGACUGCCGCUGUCCUCCUGGUCAUUCAGGUCUCAGAGGGGAGGACAUGGAAGCUGACUGGCUAAAUGACUUGCCCUGAUCUACAUGGCUAUGAAGUAUCUCAGGCUACAUUGGAAUUCGGGUCUCUCUGCUGCCAAAUCCUGAACUGUAACCCACUGCUCUCAUGGCUUGGAUAGCUCAGAUGCCAGCAGUUUGUUCCUCUCAGUGACAGUGAGCACCACCAGCCCUGCCAUCUGCCUUGACACUCUCUUUUAAGGUUCUGUUAUAUGCCUAUAAUCAUGUUCCUAUGCCUUGCAGUGCCCCCAACACUUCCAUUUAACCAUGUCACUGGGUCAGGAAUCAGAAAAAACUGAGUUCAAGUCCAAUCUAACUUGGAUUUGAAACUUACUAAGCUGUAUGAUCCCACGCGAAUGACUAAUCAUCCCUGUUCCUCAGUUUCCCCAAAUGUAAAUUGGGGAUAAUAACAGUACCAACCUCACAGGGUUAGUGUGAAAAUCAAAUCUGAUAAUAUUUGUAAAGUGCCUGGCACAUAGUAAAACACUUUACUGACUCUUUUACCUCAUGCUUGGGAGGGUUCUCAAGCAGUCAACAAGUAUCCCCCUUCUAAAAGAAUUGCCCUCUUUUUUGAAAUUCUUUGUCCAAGAAGCAGCUAAACUCAAAGAAAGAACACUGGAAAAUGAAUGUAAACUGCUUGCAUUUUUGUUCUUCUUCCCAGGUUAUUUAUACCUUCUAAAUCCUAGUCUCCCUGUGCAACAAGAGAACUGUUCAGUUCUGCACACAUAUAUUGUAUCCAAGAUCCACUGUAACCUAUUUAACAUCUAUAGGACUGCUUGCCAUCUGGGGAAGGGGGUGGAGGGAGGGAGGGGAAAAAUCGGAACAGAAGUGAGUGCAAG
rnacentral:lncRNA from 1 species